UACGUAGGUGGCGAGCGUUAUCCGGAAUGAUUGGGCGUAAAGGGUGCGUAGACGGCAGAGCAAGUCCGGAGUGAAAGCCCGGGGCCCAACCCCGGGACUGCUCUGGAAACUGUUAAGCUGGAGUGCGGGAGGGGCAGGCGGAAUUCCUGGUGUAGCGGUGAAAUGCGUAGAUAUCAGGAGGAACACCGGCGGCGAAGGCGGCCUGCUGGACCGUGACUGACGUUGAGGCUCGAAAGCGUGGGGAGCAAACAGG
rnacentral:rRNA from 1 species